rnacentral:rRNA from 1 species
GAUGAACGCUAGCUACAGGCUUAACACAUGCAAGUCGAGGGGUAGCAGGGUAGCAAUACCGCUGACGACCGGCGCACGGGUGAGUAACACGUAUCCAACCUUCCCAUAACUCGGGGAUAGCCUUCCGAAAGAAAGAUUAAUACCCGAUAGUACUUAUAUAGGGCAUCCUACAUAAGUUAAAGAUAUAUUGGUUAUGGAUGGGGAUGCGUUCCAUUAGAUAGUUGGUGAGGUAACGGCUCACCAAGUCUUCGAUGGAUAGGGGUUCUGGGAGGAAGGUCCCCAACGUUGGUACUGAGACACGGACCAAACUCCUACGGGAGGCAGCAGUGAGGAAUAUUGGUCAAUGGGCGAGAGCCUGAACCAGCCAAGUAGCGUGAAGGAUGAAGGUCCUAUGGAUUGUAAACUUCUUUUAUAGUAGAAUAAAGUGAUCCACGUGUGGAUUUUUGUAUGUAUACUAUGAAUAAGGAUCGGCUAACUCCGUGCCAGCCGCCGCAGUAAGAC